UGCGCGUUGGCGGAGGCGAUCGCACCGGCGGCCGGCGACAGCUGCAGGUUCGCCUGCGCGGCGGCCGCGGCCGUUGCGCCGGCCGCGAGCGUC
rnacentral:tRNA from 1 species